rnacentral:rRNA from 1 species
CAUUUUUUAUUGAAAUAUUAAUAAAUAACACCUGCUCAAUGAAAUAUUAAAUAGCCGCGGAAAUUUAACCGUGCUAAGGUAGCAUAAUCAUUUACCUUUUAAUUAAAGGCUAGUAUGAAAGGUGAAACAUUCCAAUUUCUUUAUUUAUUAAUUUUUUUUAAAUUUAACUAAGAAUAAAAAUGUUCUUAUUAUUAAAAUAGACGAUAAGACCCUAUUGAACUUAACCUAUUGUUAUGCUGGGGCAGCAUAAAAAUUAUUAUUUUUUUUUAUUUUCAUAAAAUAAAUGACCUAAUUUAAUUAAUUAUAUGAACAAGUUACCAUAGGGAUAACAGCGUAAUAUUUUUCUAAAGCUCUUAUUUAAAAAAGUGAUUACGACCUCGAUGUUGAAUUAAUGUGACUUUAAAAGUGCAACCACUAUAAAAGUAGGUCUGUUCGACCUUUAAAACAUUAC